CUACGGGUGGCUGCAGUGGGGAAUAUUGGACAAUGGGGGAAACCCUGAUCCAGCCAUGCCGCGUGAGUGAAGAAGGCCUUAGGGUCGUAAAGCUCUUUCGCCAGAGAUGAUAAUGACAGUAUCUGGUAAAGAAACCCCGGCUAACUCCGUGCCAGCAGCCGCGGUAAUACGGAGGGGGUUAGCGUUGUUCGGAAUUACUGGGCGUAAAGCGCGCGUAGGCGGAUUAGUCAGUCAGAGGUGAAAUCCCAGGGCUCAACCCUGGAACUGCCUUUGAUACUGCUAGUCUUGAGUUCGAGAGAGGUGAGUGGAAUUCCGAGUGUAGAGGUGAAAUUCGUAGAUAUUCGGAGGAACACCAGUGGCGAAGGCGGCUCACUGGCUCGAUACUGACGCUGAGGUGCGAAAGUGUGGGGAGCAAACAGGAUUAGAUACCCCUGUAGUC
rnacentral:rRNA from 1 species